GACGAACGCUGGCGGCGUGCCUAAUACAUGCAAGUCGAACGAGAGCGACCGGUGCUUGCACUGGUCAAUCUAGUGGCGAACGGGUGAGUAACACGUGGGUAACCUGCUCAUCAGAGGGGAAUAACAUCCGGAAACGGAUGCUAAAACCGCAUAGGUCUUCGAGCCGCAUGGCUUGAAGAGGAAAAGAGGCGCAAGCUUCUGCUGAUGGAUGGACCCGCGGUGCAUUAGCUAGUUGGUGGGGUAACGGCUCACCAAGGCCGUGAUGCAUAGCCGACCUGAGAGGGUGAUCGGCCACAUUGGGACUGAGACACGGCCCAAACUCCUACGGGAGGCAGCAGUAGGGAAUCUUCCGCAAUGGACGCAAGUCUGACGGAGCAACGCCGCGUGAGUGAAGAAGGUUUUCGGAUCGUAAAACUCUGUUGUUAGAGAAGAACAAGUGCUAGAGUAACUGUUAGCGCCUUGACGGUAUCUAACCAGAAAGCCACGGCUAACUACGUG
rnacentral:rRNA from 1 species